UCCGACCGUCGGAUUUGAGGUUGGACGUUUUCCGCCAAUAAAAACCGCGCCCCUUACCCUUAACAACAGAUAAGUGGCCCCACCCGUCAGUGUCAGCUUCCCCGCAUCCGCCGCGGCCAUGGCGUUCGCCGCCAUCCACGCCCGCCUCGCCGCCGCCGCCUCGUCGCCGCCCCUCCGCUCCGCUCCCGUCCGCAUCCGCCCCUCUCCCGUCGGAACCUUGUCCGCGGACCGCCACGUCAGCUUGCGGCAGCAACGGCGCCAGCGCCGGCCGAGGAGGGCAGGAUUCGCCGCCGCCAUCAGCGCGUCGCUCGACCUCACUGAGGACAACGUCCGGCUCGCCCUCGACGAGGCCAAGUCCGAGCUGGGUCAGCUGUUCGACACGUCGGUGGGGAUCACAGGGCAGGUCGAUCUCGCGGAGCUGGACGGGCCGUUCGUGAAGCUCCGGCUCAAGGGCAAGUUCUGGCACACCCGCGCCACCGUGCUCGCGCGGCUUGGUAACUACCUCAAGAACCGCAUCCCGGAAAUCUUGGAGGUGGAGAUAGAAGACGAGAAGCAGCUUGAUGAUAGCCCUGCAGCCUUCUGAGUACUCUGGUAAACUAGAAGUUGGCUGCUCGUUCACAAAAGUAAUAUUGGUCUUCCAUCCUAUGAGCAUCACGGUAUCGAAAGCGUUUGGUGGCCUAGGAUUUGUUCAUGAUGAGCUAAUAUACUCCAGUCCCUUUGCAUCAUGUGCGUGGCAGCUAAUUGGACCGACCAAAUUAAGGAGGAUUAGCCAGUAACCAUACAUCUAUAUUCAGUCGGCGUCAAGCCAUCGCAUUCACAUCAGAUUAAUUAGUCUCCGGUGAUCAUGUGACCUGCACAAAGACAAAACGCCUAUCGCUUCACUAAAACUGUUGAUAUAAUAUAAUCAUAAAGUUGGAUCACUAACCGUGUGGCAAAUCAUUUAAGGUUCUUGGUUAAUUAAACAAACUAAUCAGCUAGAAGUUUCUUCUCUUCUGCUGUGCAAUUCUUCUUGGGUAACGUGUUUUCUCUUCCUAGGAUCGAUCCAUAUCUGUUGCUCUCUUCCUGGGAUCCAUCAAUGGAGAGAGAUACGAGUCAGAAUGGAAGGGAAAUUCUCUCCAGCUGCACUGCAGCCUCCAACUGUCGUCAGACUCCUCCAUGGCUGGCGCCAAAAUAAGUGUUGCUGUGUUCAUCCUGCUUGCUGUCUUCAGAGAAGCUUAAUUUGGACGAAUGCACAUGCCGAAUGGCCAUCCAUGAAUAAUUUGAACCACUGUUUGGGAGUCUUGUAUGUCCUUGUGCAGAUUUCUCAUUUUCUCCUUGGCCCAUGUUUGAGUUGCAUGUUUCCCGCUUAUGGGUAAGUUCUUUUUCAGAUAAUGAGAAUAGCUUACAUCUAUGUGAUACCCAUAAACCCGUACUUAUCUUGGCAGAAAUACUAUAAACUCAAUCCUAUAUGUAAA